rnacentral:rRNA from 1 species
AGUGAACGCUGGCGGUAGGCCUAACACAUGCAAGUCGAACGGCAGCACAGUAAGAGCUUGCUCUUACGGGUGGCGAGUGGCGGACGGGUGAGGAAUACAUCGGAAUCUACUUUUUCGUGGGGGAUAACGUAGGGAAACUUACGCUAAUACCGCAUACGACCUACGGGUGAAAGCAUGGGAUCUUCCGACCUUGCGCGAUUGAAUGAGCCGAUGUCGGAUUAGCUAGUUGGCGGGGUAAAGGCCCACCAAGGCGACGAUCCGUAGCUGGUCUGAGAGGAUGAUCAGCCACACUGGAACUGAGACACGGUCCAGACUCCUACGGGAGGCAGCAGUGGGGAAUAUUGGACAAUGGGCGCAAGCCUGAUCCAGCCAUACCGCGUGGGUGAAGAAGGCCUUCGGGUUGUAAAGCCCUUUUGUUGGGAAAGAAAAGCAGCAGGUUAAUACCCCGCUGUUCUGACGGUACCCAAAGAAUAAGCACCGGCUAACUUCGUG